rnacentral:rRNA from 1 species
CCUACGGGAGGCAGCAGUGAGGAAUAUUGGUCAAUGGGCUUACGCCUGAACCAGCCAAGUCGCGUGAGGGAAGACUGCCCUAUGGGUUGUAAACCUCUUUUGCCAGGGAGCAAUUGGCGCUUCGUCUAGCUUUAUCGACAGAACUUGAAUAAAAAGCCUCGGCUAACUACUUGACAGCAGCCGCGGUAAUACGUAGGUUGCAAGCGUUGUCCGGAUUUACUGGUUGUCAAGGGCGUGCAGCCGGAGAGAAAAGUCAGAUGUGAAAUCCACGGGCUCAACCCGUGAACUGCAUUUGAAACUGUUUCCCUUGAGUGUCGGAGAGGUAAUCGGAAUUCCUAGUGUAGCGGUGAAAUGCGUAGAUAUAAGGAAGAACACCAGUGGCGAAGGCGAAUUACUGGACGAUAACUGACGGUGAGGCGCGAAAGCGUGGGGAGCAAACAGGAGUAGAUACCCCUGUAGUC